UACGGAGGGUGCAAGCGUUAUCCGGAUUUACUGGGUUUAAAGGGUAUGUAGGCGGACUUUUAAGUCAGGGGUGAAAUCCCGAGGCUCAACCUCGGAACUGCCUUUGAUACUAUUGGUCUUGAAUGUUGUUGAGGUGGGCGGAACGGGUCAUGUAGCGGUGAAAUGCAUAGAUAUGACCCGGAACACCGAUUGCGAAGGCAGCCCGCUAAGCAACUAUUGACGCUGAGGCACGAAAGCGUGGGGAUCAAACAGG
rnacentral:rRNA from 1 species